rnacentral:ncRNA from 2 species
CGUAAACACUCUGGAGAGACCGGUUGAAUCCGGCGCCGAAGGUGCACGAGGCAUGGGUCAGUCACACCGAUCCACGCCUCCAAACUCUCAGGCAAAAGGACAGAGGGGCGCCU